GCAAACUUGGUCAUUUAGAGGAAGUAAAAGUCGUAACAAGGUUUCCGUAGGUGAACCUGCGGAAGGAUCAUUAUUGAAAACAUUAAGAGGUUGUUGCUGGUCUUUUCGACAUUUGUGCACGCCUCUGCUUUCAAAAUCCAUUCACACCUGUGCACUUAAUUGUAAACUUUUGGUACUAGAGGAGAAAUCCUUGAAUCCAAAAAGUUUCUAUUACACACUCUAUAUAUGAACUCUUAGAACGCUAUUGUUGUAAUAAACAAACUUAACAACUUUCAACAACGGAUCUCUUGGCUCUCGCAUCGAUGAAGAACGCAGC
rnacentral:misc_RNA from 1 species